AAGAAUAUCGCAAUUUUCUUAGAACGUGAAUUCUGAUUUCAGCUAUUUGGACAUCAUAACAAAACAUGAAUUAUAAACAACUAGUAAGUAAUGGUAUGUUAGUGGCAAUGUCAUAUUUGAAACACAACAUGACGUAAAUUCGUUUUUCAGACUCUUUAAAUUAAAUUUUUUGCUGUUUAACCAGUUUGGAUCUAAGUCCCGAUAAUUAGCACUUUAGUACGGUAACCGACGUCUAGCUACCCUAAAUAUUAGUCAAACCCGAAUCUAUUAAUGUGAUAAUCUAAUAUAGCAUUAAGUGCAUUCAUUCUGGAAUCGUCAGAAUCAACCGCUAGAUGCAUCAAAAAAGACAUGAAUUAUAAACCGCAAAUUUCAUCAUAUAUGCCAUAUAAGUCAGAUAUGUCGAUCAUAAUGAAAAAACUAACUUUUUCAAUAUUAUAGAUGAUGAAAAUGUAAAAGUAUAGUACAAAAUUCAUAAAAAUGUCUAAUAACAAUUAAUUUGUGUAAAAUAUCUAAUAUCAAUUAAAAAUAUCUUAUGCGUUAUUAAGUUAUUGGCUCAAUAGAAAGUGAUGCAGAUGUUGAAUUCGAGAAACUUACGUAUGGCUUCAUAAUUAAGAGUGUUUUUAAGACCAAUAUAUUUGUUCAAAGUGCAGUGAUUGCUAUGUAUGCUAAACGCAGAGACUUUAAAACUGCAAGUACUAUGUUACAAGAUAUGGAAGUUGAUGAUGUGGUUUCUUGGAAUUCGAUGGUUGUUGAGUGUGCUAGAGAAGGGUUUAAUACCAAAAUCCUCUUUUGACGAUAACUGAAAUUGACCAGCAUAUCACAAAACAUAACAUGGCAUAUUUAUUCAAUUAUUAAAAAUAUACAAACUCCUACGAUGAAAUAAUAUUUUCUAAGAAUAUGAAUCAUUUUGGAAUUCCUGAAAAAAAUAUUUACCACCACUAAGUUAUAAUCCUUAAUGCAUUCCAAAAUAGAAUUUUUUCUCAGCUGGUAUAUUUUCAUAUAAAGAACUUUUUGCAUUGUUUUUUUUCAUUCUAUUGUUCAACUUAAGUCAUUUAUAAACACUACAAGAAAACACAAUUUUAACGACGAAAAAUAAGGAGAAAAAAGUCCUCGUAAAAUUACGUCGUCUUUACGAGGAAAAAAACAAAUCAACAUAAUUUUGUCGUAAAAUAAUGACAAUAAAGUUUCGUCGUAAAAACGACGCAAUUUAACUUGUAUUUUACGAGGAAACAAUGUUUCGUCGUAAAGUAGACGUAAAAUGAGGAAUUUACGACAAAAUAUUUUACGUCUAUUUAGCGUCGAUAUCUCGAGUGCACCAACUUUUUAGUUUAAAACACAUUUUUUUGUUUCGGCUAGCUAACUAUAUUUCCUCUUAAAUUCCUAGUAAAAUUUCACCUACCAGUGUGGAAUUCUCAGGGUUAUUGAAGCUGAAAUGAGUCAUCUUCAAAUGUGACUGGUUCGACCCCGUCGUCAACAGAGGUGUUCGGUUUACCAAAUCCGGUGUAGUUGAUGUCAGUGGUGGACGAAGGUACAACAAAUUUGAGCGUUUCAUAUUAGCUUCGCAAGCAGACCAAGUUGGCUUCCUUCCAUAUCCUCAGAUGAGAGAAUCGAGAAUAAAUUGGUUAGCCGUUAUCAAAGUUACGCCUCGUGGACAAAUAAUCGGUGGCGAAGAACAGCCUUUGCAAGAAGAACACAUCAAUGAAGUCCAGGAACCUGAACAACAAACUGAUGACAUCCUUCUCAUUGAUCCGCAUAAUCGUGAGUACGAAGAUCAUCCCGACGAUACCACAGACGAAGCUGUUGAAGACGAGUUUAAUGAAAAUUAUGAAGUUUCUAGUGAUGACGAGAAUGUCAAUGAUGUAUCCGAAUGAUGAUGUAUUUUUUUAAUAUGAUUUAAUUUCAGACUUAAUGCAUGUGUUUAGUUUGUUUAAUCAUGAAAAUUAAAUUAUAUAAUUUGAUUUUGUGUAAGGCAAUUGGGGGGUUUGGGGUUUGGAAAGAAAAGAUUGAGAUUAUAAGUUAAGGAACUUGGGGUUUGGGGUUUCGGGUUAUAGGGAUUUACAUAUCUUCCUCGUAAAGUCCUCGUAAAAGAAAACACGGACCUUGCUACUUCCUCGUAAAAAAAAACAAGGGCCUUGUUAUUUCAUCAUAAAUUAACGAGGUCUUUACGAUGAAAUUUAAAAACACUACAUCGUAAACUACUCGUAAUAAGAAAAUGCGGGCCUUGUUAUUUCCUCGUAAAUUUACGUGGACUUGACGACGAAAAUUAAAAAUGCAUGUGUUUAGUUUGUUUAAUCAUGAAAAUUAAAUCAUAUAAUUUGAUUUUGUGUAAGGCAAUUGGGGGUUUGGGGUUUCGGGUUUUAGGGAUUUACAUAUAUUCCUCGUAAAAGAAAACACGGGCCUUGCUACUUCCUCGUAAAAAAAAAACAUGGACCUUGUUAUUUCCUCAUAAAUUAAAGAGGUCUUCACGACAAAAUUUAAAAACACUUCGUCGUAAACUACUGGUAAUAAAAAAAUGUGGGUCUUGUUAUUGCCUCAUAAAUUUACGUGGACUUUACGACGAAAAUUAAAAAUGCAUGUGUUUAGUUUGUUUAAUCAUGAAAAUUAAAUAAUAUAAUUUGAUUUUGUGUAAGGCAAUUGGGGGUUUCGGGUUUCGGGAAUUAGGGAUUUACAUAUAUUCCUCGUAAAAGAAAAUACGGGCCUUGCUACUUCCUCGUAAAAAAACACCGGUCUUGUUAUUUCCUCGUAAACUUACGAGGAUUUUACGACGAAAAUUAAAAAUGAAAAGGCGGGCCUUGUUACUUCCUCGUAAUUUUACGAGGAUUUUACGACGAAAUAUAAUUCCCUAUAUAUACCCGAACCAUCUCACUUCUCAUUUCGUAGUCACUUUCUCUCCUCCUCCUAUAGGUACCCCUCUCUAGGUUAGCUUAGGUGGUUAGUUUAGGGUAAUUAGUGUUGAUUAGGUGGUUAGUGUAGGGAAUUUGUAGAUAGGUUUAUGGAAUUUGUUGAUAAUAUAGGAUGAUGAUUUUUAAAUGUUAAUUAAUAAUCUAUGUGUUUUCUUUUCAGAUGGUUAAUUAAUAAUUUGUAGAUAGGUUUAUGGGCUGAUGAAGUCACUCAGCUGUGUUCUGAGUUGAACUCAACGUGGUCUGCGUUCACAGCUCGUAUGGGUUCAGUCGAGGCUUUCUGGACGUUCUAGCGGCUGGAAAUCCUCAAUUGAAGACCAUGUUGACGGAGAUGCGGAGACAAAUCCCAUUCCAGAGCCACCCCGUACACAGAAGGAUGAGGAAGAAGUAGAGAAGAAGAGUCGAGACUUCUUCCAGGAGAUGCAAAACAACAACCUUUAAUUUUUUUUUCUUCUUUUUAUUGUAUUACAAAUUUGAAACUUAAAUAUUUAUAAAAUAUUUUUGAAUUGAUUUAUUUUUUUGUAAUAAAUUUUAAAAUAUAUUUGAUUAUAUUUUUUUUGUAAAAAAUAAAAAAUCGAAACAAAUUUGUAGCUAAAUUACGUCUAAUUAACGAGAAAAUUGAAAAAUUGUUAGCGAGGAAUUUACUACGAAAUACACGCAGAUUCGUCGUAAAUAUUACGUGUAAAGAACGAUGAAAUCAAGCGUCUACUUUACGAGGAAAAGCUUUAUGUGUACUUCACGAGGAAACAGUUUACGUGUACUUUACGAGGAAAAUGUUUACGUAGCUUUUACGAGGAAACAGUUUACGUGGCUUUUACGACGAAAUUAUUGACACUACUUUACAAUGAAACCUUUCCUCGUAACUUUACGAUGAACGUUUAACGAGGAAAUGGCCUUCGUAGUUAUUUCGUCGUAAACUCUCUUUUACGACGAAAUAACCACGAAAACCGUCUUUCUUAUAUAUGUGUUUUCUCGUAGUGAAAUAAGUUAAAAUGAUUUAGUGAUUUUUCACAUAGUCAAUUAAGAUCAGCAAUAGUUUUCUUCUGUUGAACAGUAACUAUCACCGUGUUUUUAUACACAUAAUCAUGUAACUAUUUUGAUUUGCUUUACAUGUAUAAUUAAUUAACGAAGCAUUCAUAAUAAUUAUAUAAACAUAAUAUAUGAUAUGUGUACAUGAGAGAAUAUAGAUUAUGAAAAUGUAACCAUAGAUUUACGAACUAUAUUAAUGAAUGUGCCCCUCGUUCUUAAACCAUCCUAGUUAAAUCAACAAUCAUUUAUUUUUUUUGCUAAAAAAACUAUCUAUAAUUUUAUAUAAUAUCUGCUAAAUUUAGAAAUUUUAAUUUAAAAUCAAUUGUGAAUGACUAUAUUAACUUGCAUAUUUUCACAUUUAUUAAAUAAGAUUCUAAAAAUAUCAGUUAUCGUUUUAAGUUUUCACUAUUAAAGCUUCCAAUAUCAUUCAUGUUUUAAACUUCAAAGAUUUUUCAAAAUAUAUUUAAUACUUGUUGAUAAUAGACUACUCCAUUUGUUUCAUAUAAGUGUCGUCUAAAUUGUUUGCAUACGAGCUAAAAAUUAAUACAAAUUUUACCCCAUUUAAUAUAUAUAUUUGAUUUUUUAAUUAGAUUAAAAAUAAAGGUAAAGCUGGAAUUUAUAUUUUAUGUAUACAUUGAAUAUGUAAAACAACAAGUAUAAUGAAAUAAAUUUUUUUAAGUAAAACAACAUUUAAUAUGAAACGGAAAGAGUAUGUUUUAUUAAUUUCUUAUUUUUUUUCUUUUUAGUUAAUUCAAGAUAUUUCUCUUGUUUAGGUUAUGACUUUUUGUUUCAUGUAUCUAAUUAAUUACAAGUUGACUCUAAUUAAUUAGUGAUUUUUUCACAUUGUCAAUUAAGAUUAGCAAUAGUUAUCUUCCGUUGAACAUUAACUAUGACCGUGUUUUUAAUACAUAUAAUCAUGUAUAAAAUAAUUAUAUAAAUAUACAUAUAACUAGUUUGAUUUGCUUUACAUGUAUAAUUAAUUAACGAAGCAUUAAUAAUAGUUAUAUAAAAUAAUAUGUGUACAUGAGAUAAUAUCUAUAUAUAUAAAGUAUUGUUUGUUUCUCUCCUAUGAUUCAGCCACAUCAUUAAGUCGUGCAAGGAGAAAUCAACACGUUCCCCUCUUUCUAAAACGUCGCGUUUCAUUUAAUCUUGCGCUAACAUUUGUGGGCUUCGUACCUGGGCUUUAUGAUUACACCGCGUUCGAGCCCAAAAGUGACCUAACGCUUAUCGUCUUCCACGGUCACAACGAGUCUAGGGUUCAUACUCCUCUUCCAUCGCCGACAUCAACAAUGGAGUCUCGAGAAAUUGUGCCAGGAAUGUAAACGCUGUGGGGAGCUUGCGGGUUUAUACGAAGUGGCGUAUGCUGUAAGGAUUGAUUCAGUAGGCGGCGUUGCUAUACAAUACAUGUCUCCAGAAAUGAGUUAUUUAAGAUACAUAUAGGAUGAGAUUGAUAUAAAGCUAAACUUGAUCCCUCCAUAUCAAAUAAAUUUCAUGUCUAGGCAGCUCUGCGGCAACGGUCUCGACUUUCCAAGCAGGUUGUUCUCUGUUUGUUUAGCUACAAAAAAAUUCUUAUUCUCACUUGCUAAAUAAAUGAAGUUCUUUUGUGAUGUUGUGGUUUCACUUGAACGUGUAGAGACUAUUGGUUUGGUGAGUAAAUCUGAUGAUUUCAAAUGAA